rnacentral:lncRNA from 1 species
UAUACUUUCUGUAGAUUAUCAAAUGGAUUUGAAUCUGUGGGCCCGUAGGAAUCGUCCUCCGGCUACUAUGAUGGUCAUAGACGGUCAUGAGCAACUGAGAUGUUUAGCUCCUGCACUUUACGACCUUGAAGAUGGUGGAUACACAAUUCUUAUUGCAUAUCCUCAGCCUCACCUAGCCACACCCUUUCCUCGUACCUUCACUAACCAGUGGUUUUGGGAUGCCUUACUCUCAUAUAAACUGG